AUACGGAGGGGGCUAGCGUUGUUCGGAAUUACUGGGCGUAAAGCGCGCGUAGGCGGUAUAUCAAGUUAGGCGUGAAAGCCCCGGGCUCAACCCGGGAACUGCGCUUAUUACUGAUAAACUAGAGUCCGGGAGAGGGUGGCGGAAUUCCCAGUGUAGAGGUGAAAUUCGUAGAUAUUGGGAAGAACACCAGUUGCGAAGGCGGCCACCUGGACCGGUACUGACGCUGAGGUGCGAAAGCGUGGGGAGCAAACAGGAUUAGAUACCCCAGUAGUCC
rnacentral:rRNA from 1 species